UACGUAGGGGGCAAGCGUUGUCCGGAAUCAUUGGGCGUAAAGAGCGUGUAGGCGGCUCGAUAAGUCCGCCGUGAAAGUCCAGGGCUCAACCCUGGAAUGCCGGUGGAAACUGUCGGGCUGGAGUCCGGAAGAGGCGAGUGGAAUUCCUGGUGUAGCGGUGAAAUGCGCAGAUAUCAGGAGGAACACCAAUGGCGAAGGCAGCGCGCUGGGACGGUACUGACGCUGAGACGCGAAAGCGUGGGGAGCAAACAGG
rnacentral:rRNA from 1 species